rnacentral:rRNA from 1 species
AGAGUUUGAUCCUGGCUCAGAGCGAACGCUGGCGGCGUGCUUAACACAUGCAAGUCGAACGCGCAGUUUUCUGUAGCAAUACAGGAGGCGGGCGCGUGGCGAACGGGUGCGUAACACGUGGGCAACUUACCCUCAAGUGGGGAAUAACCCAGCGAAAGUUGGGCUAAUACCGCAUAACAUUCCGAUGGCUGCUGCUGUUGGAGUCAAAGGUCGCAAGACCGCUGGAGGUGGGGCCCGCGCCCGAUUAGCUUGUUGGUGAGGUAACGGCUCACCAAGGCUAUGAUCGGUAGCCGGUCUGAGAGGAUGGCCGGCCACACUGGAACUGAGACACGGUCCAGACUCCUACGGGAGGCAGCAGUGGGGAAUCUUGCGCAAUGGGCGAAAGCCUGACGCAGCAACGCCGCGUGGGGGAUGAAGCUUUUCGGAGUGUAAACCCCUUUCGACCUGGAUGAAUCCCCGCAAGGGAUUGACAGUACGGGUAUAAGAAGCCCCGGCUAACUACGUGCCAGCAGCCGCGGUAAAACGUAGGGGGCCAGCGUUGCUCGGAAUUACUGGGCGUAAAGGGUCUGUAGGCGGUGCGGCAAGUCGGAAGUGAAAUCUCAGGGCUUAACCCUGAGGCUGCUCCCGAAACUGCUGUGCUCGAGUGCGAGAGAGGCGAGUGGAAUUGCAGGUGUAGCGGUGAAAUGCGUAGAUAUCUGCAGGAACAUCCGAGGCGAAAGCGGCUCGCUGGAUCGCAACUGACGCUGAGAGACGAAAGCUAGGGGAGCAAACAGGAUUAGAUACCCUGGUAGUCCUAGCCCUAA